GACGAACGCUGGCGGCGUGCUUAACACAUGCAAGUCGAACGGAAAGGCCCCUUCGGGGGUACUCGAGUGGCGAACGGGUGAGUAACACGUGAGUAACCUGCCCUUGACUUCGGGAUAACUUCAGGAAACUGGGGCUAAUACCGGAUAGGAAUCCUUGCUGCAUGGUGGGGGUUGGAAAGCUUCGGCGGUUUUGGAUGGACUCGCGGCUUAUCAGCUUGUUGGUGGGGUAGUGGCUUACCAAGGCUUUGACGGGUAGCCGGCCUGAGAGGGCGACCGGCCACAUUGGGACUGAGAUACGGCCCAGACUCCUACGGGAGGCAGCAGUGGGGAAUAUUGCACAAUGGGCGGAAGCCUGAUGCAGCAACGCCGCGUGCGGGAUGACGGCCUUCGGGUUGUAAACCGCUUUCAGCAGGGGCGAAGCUUGUGGUGACGGUACCUGCAGAAGAAGCGCCGGCUAACUACGUG
rnacentral:rRNA from 1 species